CGAGGUUGGCAAUUUGAGCAUCCUAAACUCUCAUGUGGUGCUUACUUGGAAAAGGACAAGGAUUGGAUUGGACUGAGUGUUACAUUCAGUCGAACAAAAUUAUAUAUAUCAUCACCACUCAAUAAUGUGAAGAUGUUCUAACAGAAAAAGCUUUGACAACUUUUGCUGGCUAGGAACAGGGUACCUCCUUUUUCCAUAGUGAGACUUUGCUCUCAAGUAAAGCUCCUUGAUUUCGGUGCACAUCUUUGCGCUGCUAAAAUGUGGCAUUUGUUAUUGUUUAGCAGAUCAACAACCAAAGUUAAACACAACAGAUGUUUAGCAUUUGCUAAUGAGUUCUGGAGUUUUGAAGUAGCUGAACUGAAAGCUCGUGUGUUCCUGUCCAUUCUUCUGCAGAUCAUGUUACCUUGGAAAGUGGUAUCAGGCACUACAUCUUCUGGAUCCAGACUCAGCACAAGCAGAGGAGAACAUCUGUUACUUCAAGAACACAUCUGACCUUAGCAUCUCCUCCUCCUGGGACUAUGUAUGGAGUCCAUGGAUAUCUAUGCGUAUUGUUUGAGUCACUAAACCUACUAUCCUUUGGGAAGAGGUGAUGGCUAAUUGGUGGUCCAGAGACAUUUCAGGAGUCGAUGGACACACCACAUAUGAUCCUGCCGGCCAAUUUAUGCAUAAAUAAUUGCAGAUAGCUUGAAAGUUAUUUCGCUUUGUUUAACAAAAUGGCUGAGAGACAGUAAGGCUGUGGCAACAGGGGGACUCAGAAUAGUGCCUGCAUGACCUCCUGUUCUUGGACGUGCUGGCUACCCAUAAUGAAGGUGACAAGUUCAUGCAGCAACAUAAACAAGCAUCCAAACUGCUUGCUUGCUGAAUAAUAAUAAUUGUAACAAUGAAAGGAAGAUUCCCAUUAACUGUACAUGGAGUUUGGUUACUUAUGUCACUACAUCUGUCGUAAUCUGUCUUUUGAAUUUUGUAUCGACGUAUUGAUGAUAU